UCAGUCGACUCCUACGGGGAGGCAGCAGUGGGGAAUAUUGCACAAUCGGGGGAAACCCUGAUGCAGCCAUGCCGCGUGUGUGAAGAAGGCCUUCGGGUUGUAAAGCACUUUCAGUAGGGAGGAAGGUAGUGUAGUUAACACCUGCACUAUUUGACGUUACCUACAGAAGAAGCACCGGCUAACUCCGUGCCAGCAGCCGCGGUAAUACGGAGGGUGCGAGCGUUAAUCGGAAUUACUGGGCGUAAAGCGCAUGCAGGCGGCCUGUUAAGUCAGAUGUGAAAGCCCGGGGCUUAACCUCGGAAUUGCAUUUGAAACUGGCAGGCUAGAGUCUUGUAGAGGGGGGUAGGAAUUUCAGGUGUAGCGGUGAAAUGCGUAGAGAUCUGAAGGAAUACCAGUGGCGAAGGCGGCCCCCUGGACAAAGACUGACGCUCAGAUGCGAAAGCGUGGGGAGCAAACAGGAUUAGAUACCCUGGUAG
rnacentral:rRNA from 1 species